UCCUCAUUAGUUUAGAAGUCUUCCGUUUAUCAUCUUCAUUCUUGCUUCAGUAAUCCUCUCUUUGAUUCUUUCCUUCGUUUCUCAGUUCCUCUUUCACUAUCCUCUUGGAUUCCCAAGAUUUAAACCUUCCCUAGAAGGACAAUCUCUCUCUACGCCUAUAGCUAAAUGUGUUCCUACAUGUAUGUGUUGCUUCUGUGGGGCGUUAACUUUGUUGCCCUUUCUAAGAGGAAGAAGAAGAAGAAAGCUUCCAAAUCUCAUAAAGGCGGGAAAGGGAAGCAAAGUUCCGAGCCCUCGGUCCUGGAGGUUCUCCCCAAACACUUGGAUUUCGAUAGAGACGUUGAAGCAUGAGCGUCUGGACAAUUUGGGAGUUCUAAUGUUGAUAAAAUAGAGUAUGUUGUUCAUGAAGAACAUCUCCCCUUAAUUCUAUGUGACUGACGCUGGGGUGACCGUAUCACUGUUCACAUCCCUCAAGCGAACGAAAAGAAUUUUCAGCCACAAGCAUGAUUUUUCCUUAGUGUAUGCUUAUCCAUUUACCUUUGGAUUCGAACCCCCGAUUGGUCCCGUGAUCCUAGAUUAUUGUCACCAUUUUUAUAUGUGCUUGGGUCAAGUUGGGCCGAAUUUCUAGAGGCUCGUGACCGACUUUCGCUUUUUAGUGAGUGUGGCUGACGUCGACUUCUCUCUUUCGAAAUUUUUACAACCUUUUCGCUCCAACUCCAUUUAGAGGGAGCAUCAUCACGAUGGUGAGUUGGGGCACAUGAACUCUUGUGAACUCAGAGGAUGACCAUGACAGGGGUUGGUUCGUCCGAUAUAUUGCAGUCCCUACUUGGUAGUUGAUUCAACCCGAGGACGGGCUUAUUUUGGAGACUUGGAAUGACAAACCCACGCUGGUAGCUCGGAGAGCAUCUCAGACAUUAAGGAGUGGGUCAAAAAUAUCAUGGCAGCCUCUCCGAUAGUGGAGAGGUCACGGAGAUUCAUAUCGCAAGCUUCAGGAUGGAGGGAUAAGGACCAUGUUAAGCACGUUUUACUUUUACGUUCAUAGGAUUUCGUGCUUUGGCGUCAUUUUUUCUUCUUCUUCUUUACGUAUCCCUCUAAGGAAGGCUACUCUAUAAGUGUUAAUCUUUCUCUCCGCUUCCUUUGAUUUUCUCAAGGAAAAGGGUCAAGCAGUUGUCUGCCUUAAAAAGAAGGUCAGACUCGCCAGCUCCCAUUUUGGUAGGCCUCCUAAAAAAAGAACAAGGUCGGACUUUCAUAAAAAGCCUGAUGGUGUUCGAGGUAUUCUCCGAGUUACCCUUCAAAUUGAGCACCCCCAAGAUACUACUCCCAUAGUGAUAUAGGACGAGGGUAUGGAGCCCCCUUGUUCUGAGCCAGUGAGAAGCGAGAUUCUACACAUAGAUCGGGGGAAAGGAAUCACUGAAGAUGAUCCCACCGGAAGACCGGCUUGCCUACACCUACUAGAUCCUUCAGCUCCAUGCCCUCUCCUUACCGGUUCUUCGACGAGUGCCGGUAUCCGUAUGAUUUUUAUUAAGUUACUGAAAAAGAUCAAUCUCUUGAACUGUUCUGGUGAAGGGACGAUGAGGCUAGAAGGGUUAAUAGUUCCCUUAGAAAUGCAUGAGAUAUCUUCCCAAUCCAUAACCAUGUUGGCAAACUAUGUGCUUCAGUGCACCCUUCAGACGAACUUGAUAUCGAUUCGGAUCAAGGAUAGGUUCUCUUUUUAUGAAAGAACCAUAGAAGGAUUGAGAAAUAAUGUUAAAGAUUAGGAAGCUCGUUUUGUAGAGGCACUCUCGGACAAGGAAACCUACUAGCUAUUAGCCCGUUUGACCAAGGAUGAUCUGAAGGAGCUGAAGAGGGAGAUCGAGAAGACGGGAACAACACAUAGUUGUAGGGUCGAGAAUUUGGAGGCAUCUAUAGCUGAGAAAGAAGAGCAAGCAAACCAGUAAGUCGAUGUUGAUGCAACACUGACAUAAAACCUAGCUCGAGCCAAGUUGCGUGCAUUAUAUCUUGAGCAGACCCAUGGGUCAUGGAAGGACUCAAACGAUACUCAACAGGUCGAGGUGAACAGGCUACCGGGAGAGAAGGAUAGCAUGGCCUGAGCUUGAUAAGUUGAAGCUACAAUCAGAGCUGGCGUAAAACAUUGGAGGGCGCCCGUGCGGGGAUCCUUGAUUAGGAAAAAGAAAUUAAAAUCCAAGGCGAGCUAUGGAGGAAGCCAAACUCACUCUUAAUAUGGACGCACCCGAGGGAGGACUUCCGAAGGAUGUAGAAUUUGCUGGCUUUUCAGUGGAAGACAUCAAAGGAGUACCUCCUAGCUCGAGUCCUGGCCCUUCGAACUCUUGGGGUGGCCCAUCAUCUUCCUACCCUUCUUCAAUUGGGACCGUACCUCAAGAUCCACAGUCUCCCUUCCCUCCGGGUGGGGACCAUUGAUGGUGCCAUUUCAAUUAGGGCAGUUCAAAAUCGAACCAAAACUGUUAACCGAAUCGAAUCAAUGACUUAUUGGCU